rnacentral:tRNA from 1 species
GGGGUUAUAGCUCAGUUGGGAGAGCGCUUGACUGGCAGUCAAGAGGUCAGGGGUUCGAAUCCCCUUAACUCCACCA